rnacentral:ncRNA from 1 species
AAGGAAUUUUAAUUUAGUUUAAAAAUUAAUUGGAAAAUUUUUAAUAUAUAUAAUUUUUAGAAGAAUAUUAAAUUUAAAUGAUUUAAUAUAUUUAUGAAAAUAAAUAAUAUAAUGUAAUAUGUAAGAUUUUAUUAUUGUAAGAAAUUACUAAUAAGAAAUUUUUAUAGUAUAGAUUAAAUUUGUGCUAGCAAUAGCGGUUAAAUAGAUUAUACAAAUUAAUAAUAAUUAUUGACUUAUAAUAAUUAGUUAAAUUAUAAUAAAUAAAAAAAUAUUUUAUGGAUGAAAUCUAAGAAAUAUUUGUUAAUUUAUUUUUAUAAAGUAAUUUUUCAUAUAUAAAGAUUUAAUAAGAGAUUAGAUUUAGAUAUCCUAUUAUUUAAAUAAGAAAAAGAUUAAUUAAGUAGUAUUGAAUUUAGAAAUUUAAGAAUUAUGGCGGUAUAUUAACUACAUGGAGGAAUUUGUCUCGUAAUUGAUAAUCCACGAAAGGAGGAACUUAAAUUUAUGCUUAUGUAUGUUCAUAUUAAGAAUAUUCUUUAAAGAAAUAAAUGUUUACAAUGUUUUUAUAUUAUAUAUAUAUAUUGUUUAAAUUAUUUAUUAAAUUAAUAUAAAAAAUCUAAUUUAGAUCAAUAUGUAACAAUAUUUAAGAGUAAGAUGAAUUACAUUUUUGUAUCGAAUAAUUAAUUUUAAUAUUAAUUCGAAGUAGAAUUUAUUAGUAAAUUUUUAUAAAUUAUUAAAAUUGAAUAAUGAUUUUAAUAUAUGUACAAAUCGCCCGUUAAUUCUAUAUAAAUUGUAGAAUAAGUCGUAAUAAAGUAAAUGUAUUGGAAAGUGCAUUUAAGAAAUA